rnacentral:tRNA from 1 species
GGAGAGGUGGCAGAGUGGUCGAAUGUACCUGACUCGAAAUCAGUGGCAUCGAUCCGUAAGUCCUUGAUUUUUAAAGAGUUUUCCGGAUCGUUUCCA